CUAUACAUGACUCUGCGUAUAUCAAUAAGCGGAGGAAAAGAAACUAACAAGGAUUCCCCUAGUAACGGCGAGUGAAGCGGGAAGAGCUCAAAUUUGAAAUCUUAAAGGGUUUUCCCUUGACGAAUUGUAGUUUAAAGAAGUGUUUUCUGUUGAAGGUUUUGGUAAAAGUUCUUUGGAAUAGGACAUCAUAGAGGGUGAGAAUCCCGUACUUGACCAUUAUCUUCAGCUUUGUGAUACACUUUCAAAGAGUCGGAUUGUUUGGGAAUGCAGUCCAAAAUGGGUGGUAAAUUUCAUCUAAAGCUAAAUAUUGGCGAGAGACCGAUAGCGAACAAGUACCGUGAGGGAAAGAUGAAAAGAACUUUGAAAAGAGAGUUAAACAGUACGUGAAAUUGUCAAAAGGGAAGCGUUUGACACCAGUGUUGUUUUUCUGAAAAUCAAUUAAAAUGGACUGAUUUAUGCUAUGCUGUUAGACCUUUAAUCAGCUAUCUGUUACAUUUUUGAGCUUUUCUUUAAUGCACUUUUCAGUUAACAAGUCAACAUCAGUUUCUUUUGCUGUAAAAAGGUCAUUGAGGAAGGUGGCUUUAUAUUCGGCUGAAAGUGUUUAUAGCCUCUUGGCCUAUGCAAUCGGAGAGAUUGAGGUCUGCAGCGUAGACUCCUUCGGGGCUAGAUACAUUUGUGCUAAGUUAUAGCAUUUUUAUAGACAACUUGUUGACUAUAAUUCGUCUUGUAGCUUACUCGCUUAUGUUAUUUUACCUACGCUUAGGAUGUUGACAGCAGUAUAGACUGU
rnacentral:rRNA from 1 species